UCGAUUUGAAUUCUUGAUUUUAAUUUAAACUUAGUUUUCAUUUGUUCAUUCUCAACCCACUCAAAAUGAGUGUUUUUUUAAAUCUAUAUAUAGGCCUGAAGCUGCCCAGCAGGCAUUCCAAGGCCUGGGUCCUGGUUUCUCCGGUUACACACCCUAUGGGUGGCUUCAGCUUUCCUGGUUCCAGCAGAUAUAUGCACGACAGUACUACAUGCAAUAUUUAGCAGCCACUGCUGCAUCAGGGGCUUUUGUUCCACCACCAAGUGCACAAGAGAUACCUGUGGUCUCUGCACCUGCUCCAGCCCCUAUUCACAACCAGUUUCCAGCUGAAAACCAGCCUGCCAAUCAGAAUGCUGCUCCUCAAGUGGUUGUUAAUCCUGGAGCCAAUCAAAAUUUGCGGAUGAAUGCACAAGGUGGCCCUAUUGUGGAAGAAGAUGA
rnacentral:sRNA from 1 species